rnacentral:rRNA from 1 species
AGCGAACGCUGGCGGCAGGCCUAACACAUGCAAGUCGAACGAAGUCUUCGGACUUAGUGGCGGACGGGUGAGUAACACGUGGGAACGUGCCUUUAGGUUCGGAAUAACUCAGGGAAACUUGUGCUAAUACCGAAUGUGCCCUUCGGGGGAAAGAUUUAUCGCCUUUAGAGCGGCCCGCGUCUGAUUAGCUAGUUGGUGAGGUAAAGGCUCACCAAGGCUACGAUCAGUAGCUGGUCUGAGAGGAUGACCAGCCACCUUGGGACUGAGACACGGGCCAAACUCCUACGGGAGGGAGGAGUGGGGGAUCUUGCGCCAUGGGCGGAAGCCUGACGCAGCCAUGCCGCGUGGAUGAUGAAGGUCUUAGGAUUGUAAAAUCCUUUCACCGGUGAAGAUAAUGACUGUAGCCGGAGAAGAAGCCCCGGCUAACUUCGUGCCAGCAGCCGCGGUAAAAC